rnacentral:rRNA from 1 species
GACGAACGCUGGCGGCGCGCCUAACACAUGCAAGUCGAGCGAAGCGGCGAACGGGUGAGUAACGCGUGAGGAACCUGCCUCUCACAACGGGAUAGCCUCGGGAAACCGGGAUUAAUACCGUAUGGUGAGAGAUGGCCUCGCGUCUGAUUAGUUAGUUGGUGGGGUAACGGCCUACCAAGACGACGAUCAGUAACCGGCCUGAGAGGGUGAACGGUCACAUUGUAACUGAGACACGGUCCAAACUCCUACGGGAGGCAGCGGUGGGGAAUAUUGCACAAUGGGGGAAACCCUGAUGCAGCAACGCCGCGUGCGGGAUGACGGCCUUCGGGUUGUAAACCGCUUUCAGCCAUGACGCGGUAGUGGCAGAAGAAGCACCGGCUAACUACGUGCCAGCAGCCGCGGUAAUUC